CAGCGAGAAGCUACGCAGUCGUUUGCUGUUCCAUCGCUGCCGUGGCUGGUUAACAGUUGACCGCGAAACCGUCAAAGACGGCUCAGCGGCGGAUCCAGGUGGGGAUGAGAGAAGAAAUCGGCCACAUCCUCACGAAGAAUAAUCGCGACAUCUGCUUGAGGUUGGCGAGGUGGGAAGGCUACCCGUGCAGCGCAGUCUCGACAGCGAGGAGCGUUGUGCAGCCUCUACAGCGGUCGGCGGCGGCCAGAUGAGGUGGAGGUGAGGCAAGGACUGGUUUGUCCAGUGGCGCUGGACCCGCGUCACCGUGUUUACGGCGCUGCUCUCCUGGAGGAGGGGAGAGUGGGGACAGAAAACACUCCUUGCAGCGCCACAUCGAAAACAAGCAUCAUCCGCGAAAAGCCGCAUGGAACUUCCGACACUUCCGACUGGCGCAUACUCAACUCUUCACUGUCAAGACGUGUGUCAACGGUCGAGCGUCACAUGACUGCAGUAUUAGCCAGCUGUCACUAGUGUUAGUAAUUUUUUUCAGUUUGCUUUAGUUCUCUAUUAAUGCUAACACUUGUUUCAAUUUGGGUAAACGUAGAAUGUGCAUAUCACCAUCUGGCAGCAUGGCUGGUGUGCUGUUGAAUACUCCUGUAGAGAAAUAGAUAUGAAGUUCCCGGAAUUUUCAGUCGUCUUUUUCUUCCAACUUCACAUAUUGGUCUCGAUUGUUUCAAUGCCUUUCCUUUUGCAAGGCCACACGCAGAGACGGCAGUUAACAAACGCAUCGCCAAUCUGGUCUGGAUGCUUUACUUCACGAAACACCGACGCUACCACUAAAUAGCGGAGCUCGUCUGCUUUUUGAGAAUCGAGAUGCGUCUAUGCUGGAAUCUGAUGAUCGAGCGACUUACGUGACGUCAUUGUAGAAUUACUCAACAGAGGGGGCAUAUGUCAUUGA